CAUCCCAUCCCAUCCCAUCCCAUCCCAUCCCACCCCUCAGAGCCUCACCAGCCGCUUGCAGCUCAGUGCAAAGUCUCAGUAAACAUUUAUUCGAAGCUUUGCCACAAUUAACCUUAAGUUGAUUUGUGAAACUGGUCUACAAAUACUGAACUACGGAGUACAUGGUUUGGAUGGUCCGAUAAAGGAAUAAAUAAAAGCAUGUAAAGCUCUGUAAAAAAGAAGUCUGGUAUAUUGUAACUAGUUAACAGGAUUACCAGCAGGAUCUCGUAUGUGUCUAGGAUCGGAAGUGAACACACGGCAUCUCUUCAGACCAAAUCAUUUUUACAUAAACAGUUGUACAAACUUAAACACUGUAAUCAUAAAACCUGAUGUACAAAACAGGAUGUGAAAUCACUACCAUCAGUGCCAACAACAAGUGCUACCACAGCAAAUAUAACUUCUGAAUAAAAGGAAAGGAUUGGUUUUUACAUGUGCUGUCAUCACAGGUCGAUGGAAUUAUCCAAAAAGUUUAAAAUACAUGCGGAUACAAUAAAACCUUUUAUUUUCCAACCCAGACAAAGAGAACUCAUGGUCACUUAACACCAUUAGCUGCCAAAUACAGAUCAGUAUGUGAGGCAAACCACACUUAAACACUUACACACCACCAAAGAGCAAAGGUUGAUACUGGUCUAUUUUCCACACCGACGAUGCAACGACGAGUCUGGAGAAGCAAACCACGUGAAGGAGGUGCUACAAGUACAGCACUGAGUUCAAUGCACUGACACCCAAACCACCAGCACUGAGCUGUACUGGGUGUGUACACUGCACUGUGACACCCAAACCACCAGCACUGAGCUACACUGGGUGUGUACACUGCACUCUGACACCCAAACCACCAGCACUGGAGUGCUCUGCCAGAGGGGAAGAGCACAGCAGGAUCCCAGAGCAGACAGCUGAAAACCUUCAGGAGUGGGAACACUGCAGGAUUCCAAAGCAGGCAGGUGAAAACUUUCAUGAAUGGGAAGAGCACUGCAGGAUUCCAGAGGCUGGGUUGCAGACCAGGCAUCCAAAAACCUUCAGGAAUGGCAACACUGCAGGAUUCCAGAGGCUGGCUCCCAGAGCAGGCAGCUGAAAACCUUCAGGAGUGGGAACACUGCAGGAUUUCAGAGGCUGGGUUGCAGACCAGGCAU
rnacentral:lncRNA from 1 species